GUGUGUGGUGAUGUGUUGAGUCUGUGGGGUUACAAAGAAACAAGAGUCUACAGAUACAAAGAUAUUCCGUAUCAGGAGUCUAUAUUAUGAACAUUAUGUACGGAUGCAUGGCCCAGGGACACAGCACUUCUGCCUUGCCACCCCUCCCAGCCUCACCUUCUGUGAGUGCCUCUGUCAGCACCAAAGUGGUGCUUGCUCCACGCCUGCCCGUCUUGCCCAGAGCCCAGUGCUGGACAUGGACACGGGCAGACAGAAUUCACCAGGGAAUGAAUGGCAUGUCUGCAGGUGCACUCAGGUACAGCGCAUAAAUUCAGAUUUGGAGAGCUUAUGUUCCAUCAUAAAUUGGGCUGGCAGACUUCCGAUGAACAAGAUAAAGCUGUCUCCUGUGAGGCCAUCCUGGGGCACGGGCAAGUGUACAUGUGAUGGGCUCCAGGUGUGUGCUGGGACCCGUGCCUGGACUCGUUACCCAGGAAGCUGUUUCCAGGAACCUCAAGCUGCGUGUCUGUAUCUUGAAUCUCCUCAUCAGCUUCCUUUGUGCCUGAGUUCUGCACUCCAAGGCCACGGAGAACAAAAUGCCCCAUGACGCCUGCACGCAGCUCCCAGAAGGCCCUUCGUGGGAGGAGCACGGGAUAGGGGAUCUGUGUUGAGCAUAAGGUGACGUGGACAGCAGGCCUGGUCACAGGACAAGGACAGCAUAGGCACACACGAGCAGGGCCAUCUGCUGAACAUGGGAUGGACACACCUGAGCACGUGGGUGUUCCUCCAUCUCAGGUCUGGACCUGCUCUUCCCUCACACUUGGCCCCAGAUGGCACAUCCCAGGGACAUGGGGUGGAAUAGGACUGGUGCCCAAGGCUGUGUGCUGGGCACCAGCUCUGCUCCUCAGCUCUGGUUGUCACCCUGACCUGGCAUCUGAAACAGGGACAAUCGUGGUGCUGCAGGGGCUUGUGCCACAGGGAUGAGGACCGCACAGGCCUCUAUGCCCAUGUCCACCCAGCAGGGCAGCAGCCACCUCCAGGGCUCCUCCCGUGCCCCACUCACAGCUGAGGCCAGGUCCAGGCUGCAGGCUGGCAGUGUCUGCAGGGAGGAGGGGUGGAGCCUCGUGCCCAUAGACUGUCUUGCUCCCUGGGCCCGUGGAGGGCACAUGCCCCCUUUCGCUUGUUCCUAUCCUGUGGUUCCCAUCCCCCAGCUCCUGCACGCUGAGCCCACGUGUGGGGGAAGCAUGUAAGGUGUUGUGUAAGUUAGCACACACACUGCGUGUUUCUGGUGAUGUCAGCAUCUGUGCACGCCUGUCCUGUGCAUCCAGCUCUUGGAGCUGCUGUCAUGCACACGGGGGUGUCUAGGUGUGAGUACACAGGUGGGUUGCUGUGUCCUCUGAGAAUGCAUGUGUCUGUUGGUGGCUGUGGGUGCUGUGUGGGCGCGUGUGUGUGCUUCCUCACAGCUCAGUGUCAGCUACGGCACACCUGUGGGGCCAGUGUGACCCCUGCAUGUCAUCAUGUGUCUGGGCGCAUCUAGGCCUGUCUCCAGCCCCUUGGGUCACCCUGGAUGAGCACAGGUGAGGGCCAGCCAGGUCCACCUCAGCACCUGUGGUCCUAGGGACUCUCGUCCUCCACCCUCCCCUCUGGAUCUCUCUUCCCCGGUUUGUACCACAUCUGGUGCUCAAUAAAUGAUUGACUGGUGAAGGAAUGGAUGAAAAUGGGGCUCUAGGGGUGCAGUCUGGAUAGAGGCAUGGGCAGGCACUGCAGAGUGGAAAGGAGGGCUCUGGCAGGCGCACCAGUUGUGGAUGGGGUCAGCAGCGCCAGAGGGGUCGGUCAAGCCCGGCUGAGCCUGGGUUGGGGGCAGCAGGGUCUGCAGGCCGCCCCCGCGCUCCCUGGGGACGUCUCGGGUCACCGUCUGCACCUCCGGCCCGAGCAGCCCCGCGGGUUAUUUAUGACCCCCCUCCCCCUCCCUGGCGGCAGCAGCGGCUCCGGCCUCGGCCCAGCGGCG
ensembl:lncRNA